rnacentral:rRNA from 1 species
AGACCCGAAACCCGGUGAUCUAGCCAUGGGCAGGUUGAAGGUUGGGUAACACUAACUGGAGGACCGAACCGACUAAUGUUGAAAAAUUAGCGGAUGACCUGUGGCUGGGGGUGAAAGGCCAAUCAAACCGGGAGAUAGCUGGUUCUCCCCGAAAGCUAUUUAGGUAGCGCCUCGUGAAUUCAUCUCCGGGGGUAGAGCACUGUUUCGGCUAGGGGGCCAUCCCGGCUUACCAACCCGAUGCAAACUGCGAAUACCGGAGAAUGUUAUCACGGGAGACACACGGCGGGUGCUAACGUCCGUCGUGAAGAGGGAAACAACCCAGACCGCCAGCUAAGGUCCCAAAGUCAUGGUUAAGUGGGAAACGAUGUGGGAAGGCCCAGACAGCCAGGAUGUUGGCUUAGAAGCAGCCAUCAUUUAAAGAAAGCGUAAUAGCUCACUGGUCGAGUCGGCCUGCGCGGAAGAUGUAACGGGGCUAAACCAUGCACCGAAGCUGCGGCAGCGAACGUAUCACCCAAGACAACUUUACGGAGUUGACGAUUGACGGAGCGAAGCGACGUCAAAGCGUUCAUUAAAGUCGAGUUGGCUUAGGGAUACGUUCGUUGGGUAGGGGAGCGUUCUGUAAGCCUGUGAAGGUGUGUCGUGAGGCAUGCUGGAGGUAUCAGAAGUGCGAAUGCUGACAUAAGUAACGAUAAAGCGGGUGAAAAGCCCGCUCGCCGGAAGACCAAGGGUUCCUGUCCAACGUUAAUCGGGGCAGGGUGAGUCGACCCCUAAGGCGAGGCCGAAAGGCGUAGUCGAUGGGAAACGGGUUAAUAUUCCCGUACUUGGUGUUACUGCGAAGGGGGGACGGAGAAGGCUAUGUUGGCCGGGCGACGGUUGUC